UUGUGCUCACUUCAGCACAUAUACUAAAAAAUCAGAAUGAUACCAAGAUUAGCAUGGCCCCUGCAGGGAUGAUAUGCAAAUUUGUGAAAACAAAACAAAAACACCUUCUU